AUCUUGUGCACAUGAACCCAUGUUUUGGUUUACACUCAUUCAUGACAAUAAGUUGUGUACGAGGUCUUCUGGAUAUGGUGAAUUGUGUACGAAGAUUAUGAGUAGAUCAACAAGAAAUUAAUCACUUCUAGUAAGAGAAGAUAGCAUCCUAUUUAUUCUAAUCAUAUGAUAAUUCAGGAAGCCUUUGAUCAAAGCUGAAUGAAAAUUAGAAAGAGUUUCUAAUAUUUCAUUAUUUGAAUUAUCAUUAAAAGAUUGAGAAAGAUAUGAAUAUGAAAUUAAGUUUGACAUAUAUUCAUACUCAUAUAUAUAUUCGGGAUGCAGUUUGAUUAAAGGAUUGAAUUGCAUGGUAACUUGCCACUGAAGGGUAUUUUUGGUAUUUCUACCAAAUUUCAUAUUUU
rnacentral:lncRNA from 1 species